rnacentral:misc_RNA from 1 species
AAGUCGUAACAAGGUUACCGUAGAUGAAUCUGCGGUAGGAUCAUUAACAAUAAGAUCAACUUGUUUGUGCACUGUACCACGACAGGUCUCUCGGGAGAGGGGCCCAAACGAAUUAAAGAAACGCCUUUAGAACCUUGAAAGUAUAUUCUUUUAAUAAAAAAUAGAAAACAACUUUUAGCAACGGAUCUCUUGGCUCUC